rnacentral:lncRNA from 1 species
GUGAGUGGAGUUUUCUGAAACACGACUUCGCUGGGCUCGAGGUCUUGGGAGUUGCCACACUCUAAGCGCGGAUUACGUGGUGUGGUUGUAUUGCAUUCAAAUAGUUAGGUGUUUGGUGUUGGGUUGAGUUAUGUGUUUUGCAAAGAGAGGGAGUGUGUUGUUUUUGAGGAUAGGAGUUCAGAGACAUUGCGAGACCCUUUGAAUGGAGGAAGGAGUGAGACGUGUAAGACAGAGUGAACCAGAACAUCGACGAUAGUUGGAGCUAGUACGCAACGACACUGAUAUGGCAGAGGACUUGGUAUGGUCCGAAAAAACGCAGACCCAACUUUUGGUUCGAACGAUGCUCCAUGAAGUGUUGCCAGUAGGGUUGGAGGCACACCCAGACCUAAUCGCCAGAGUUGAAUUUGCGGUCAUCGCGGUGGUGGUUCGCUUGGUCACACAUGUGUUAGUGUGUCCAUCGUAAGUUUUCCUUGAGUUCGCGAAGGAUGAUGGUGUGAUGUGACAGUAUAUCGGGGAUGGUUGCGUCUACAUGUGGGUCCCAGCCGACCAUACAAAGUGUGGAACAGGGAGGUCCCUAUCGCCGAAUGGUGGGUGGUAUUGUGCCAUAGUUAUGCCAAUGAAGAUAUUGAUACCACUUACGAGGUUGGAUUCUCACAAAACACCUCAGGUAAACUUUGAAUCCUCGGUUAAGCACUUCCACUUGGCCAUCCGUUUGUAGAUGAUAUGGUGAACUGAAUUUUAAUGUAUUGUCUUAUGCUGUGAACAAUUGUCUCCAAAAAGUACUGACGAACAAGGGGUCUCUGUCAGAUACAAUUUUGUGAUUUCCAUACAUUUCGGGAAGGUGACAAAUUAAUCUUCGAGACUUACAGUGAGAAGGCCCUUACCGAUAUGAGGGUUUUGUUACUGCUGUGAAUAGUUUCUUUUUUGUCAAUUUAUUUUGGCAAAAUGUUUUUUUUUGGGAAACAAGGACAAUGGUACUUUUCCUUUUUAUUUAAUUUAACAAUAUUGUGCUUAAUAGUAUCUAUUCAUCAUUCAUUCAUUAUGCAUACUCAUCAUUCUUUUUACAAUCUGAUUUUUUUCAAUAUGUUGGCAUAAUUUUAAAUGUGCUAAACGUUUAGUACGAGCCAGUACAUAGAACAAAAAAUAAAAUGUAUGUAAAAUAAUAAUUUAUAAAUUUUAUCUCAUAUAUUGUUGUGUUCAUUUUACGAUUACACAUUCCAUAUGCAUGCUUUUUUAAAUUUUGUUUACAUUCACUUUUUAUUUUAGAUUCAGUUUUUUUUCCUUAGAUGUUGGGUCUUUUAUUUUAUUUAAGCUUAUUGUCAAUUAUACGUAGUUUUAUUUCAUUCAUUAUUUAUUUGCAUUAUAAGAAUACACACGGAGUUAAAUUUUAUUUGCAUGAUUCCAAUAUAUACUUUUAAAUAUGUUGUUAACACUUUAUCCAAUAUGUACACAAUAUUUUGCAUUUAGUUAUAAUUAUUACUCAUGUGUUACCACAAUAUGACGUGUUAAACCCUAUAAUCCUAUUUCGGUCAAGAAACGUACAUUCAUAUUAUCUAUUAUGUAUACUAAAUUGUUAUUUUCCAUUCUUUUGUUGCACGUUGUUCUUUUAUAAGUAAAUGCAUUCCGAGAACAACAGGAAUGUAACUCAACAUAUUGCACUACAGUCCCUCAAUGCAAAGAACUUUAUUAAUACCUCUCUACAUCUAAUAAUAUAUUUUUGGCAGAGUUUUACUAUGUAAUUGUUCUACAACUGUUUGGUUUUGUUUUUGUGUAAUUGUUUGUACUUUACUUAAUUUUUUUCAUUUCAUUGUUUAUUUAUGUAUUUCCUUCUAUUUUUUUUAAUUAUAG